rnacentral:rRNA from 1 species
UCGCUGGAUAGCGGCAAACGGGUGAGUAACGCGUGGGCAAUUUGCCUUUAAGACAGGGAUAGCUUCGUGAAAACGGAGGUAAUACCUGAUGUGCCUCGGAUAUCGUAUGAUGACCGGGGUAAAGGUGGGGACCGUAAGGCCUGCCACUUAGAGAUGAGCUCGCGUCCUAUCAGCUUGUUGGUGGGGUAAUGGCCUACCAAGGCGUUUGACGGGUAGCUGGUCUGAGAGGAUGGUCAGCCACACUGGGACUGAGACACUGCCAGACUCCUACGGGAGGCUGCAGUCGAGAAUAUUUAUCAAUGGGGGAAACCCUGACGCAGCGACGCCGCGUGAGUGAGGAAGGCUUUCGGGUCGUAAAACUCUGUCAAAAGGGAAGAAAUGUGUGAUGGUUAAUACCCAUUGCAUUUGACGGUACCUUUAAAGGAAGCACCGGCUAACUCCGUGCCAGCAGCCGCGGUAAUACGGAGGGUGCAAGCGUUGUUCGGAAUUACUGGGCGUAAAGGGCGCGUAGGCGGCCUGUCAAGUCAGAUGUGAAAUCCCACGGCUCACCGUGGACGUGCAUUUGAAACUGGCAGGCUUGAGUAUCAGAGGGGAAAGUGGAAUUCCUGGUGUAGAGGUGAUUUCGUAGAUAUCAGGAGGAAUACCAGUGGCGAAGGCGACUUUCUGGCUGAAUACUGACGCUGAGGCGCGAAAGCGUGGGGAGCAAACAGAUUAGAUACCCUGGUAGUCCACGCCGUAAACGAUGUCAACUAGGUGUAGGGGGUGUUGAUCCCUUCUGUGCCGCAGCUAACGCAUUAAGUUGACCGCCUGGGGAGUACGGUCGCAAGAUUAAAACUCAAAGAAAUUGACGGGGGCCCGCACAAGCGGUGGAGUAUGUGGUUUAAUUCGAUGCAACGCGAAGAACCUUACCUGGUCUUGACAUCUCGGGAAUCUCUUGGAAACUAGAGAGUGCCUUCUUUGAAGGAGCCCGAUGACAGGUGCUGCAUGGCUGUCGUCAGCUCGUGUCGUGAGAUGUUGGGUUAAGUCCCGCAUGAGCGCAACCCUUGCCUUUAGUUGCCAGCAGUUCGGCUGGGCACUCUAAAGGGACUGCCGGUGUCAAACCGGAGGAAGGUGGGGAUGACGUCAAGUCCUCAUGGCCUUUAUGACCAGGGCUACACACGUACUACAAUGGCCGAAACAAAGGGCAGCGACAGGGCGACCUGAAGCGAAUCCCGUAAAUUCGGUCUCAGUCCGGAUUGGAGUCUGCAACUCGACUCCAUGAAGUUGGAAUCGCUAGUAAUCGUGGAUCAGCAUGCCACGGUGAAUACGUUCCCGGGCCUUGUACACACCGCCCGUCACACCACGGGAGUUGGUUGUACCAGAAGCAGUU